UGCCUCUCUUUAGCUCCUGCCUGCCAUAGGAAGACAUGUACUGUCUUACUAGCAAAGUAUUUGUGCUAGAAUAUGGAUUUAAUAACAAGCUGAUAGCUGAAGUGAUUUAGAUAAAUAAAAGGCUAUGACACCUGUGGAGCUGGGGAGCCCCAAGAGGCGCUGAAAUGGAUGGCUUUCUAAAGUGAAGCUCCAGUACCAAGAAGUGGGAAACACUGCUUUCCAUGAGAGAGAAAAAUGAAAGAUUCCAGGAAUGGCGGUGACAAAGGACAGGUUUGCUUCCCAGAACUAAUGAACCUGACAAACACAAUAUUUUGGGUCCCUGGAAUCUCAGAAGCUUUUGUGACAUGCCAUUAAUCUACCUUUCAUGGAUAGUUCAUCAGCAUUCCAGGGGGUAUGGGUAUGAAAAUCUGUGUUUUAUGUGACCAAGGGUUAAAAGUGGUCCUGCAGGCUCUGAAAGGGACUGUUUUAAGUUCCUGACCCCAGGAAGAGACAAGGACUGUUCCUUAUUGUGAUCUGGGGAUGGAAAGGGAACCAAAGGGAGCUCUGAGUAGAGGAG
rnacentral:lncRNA from 1 species